GAGUGGACUAGGUCGGGCAGCUAGGCCCUGCUCGUCACCCGCCCUAUGGCCUUCAGCGGGGACCGAAUCCCGGGGGCGUCCGGACUGCCGGACGUGGGCCCCGUGAGCCAACGUGGAAGCCUCGUCCUGCGGGGACGGCGGUCCACGGGGUCGUCUCUGAAGGGAGGCGGACCCGUGGUUGACCGGGGGCACUCCGUCAGGCACGGAAGUGAGCAGCGGACCCCUGGACACCCGUCGCUCACAGGGUCGCGGGGUGGAGGAGGCAAACGGGAUUCCCCGCGCCCGAAAGGCCGGGCAAUCCCGGGCGUCCGUUU
rnacentral:SRP_RNA from 1 species